UGAGUGGCAGUAUGAAUGGAGAACAACAAGCUCAAAAACACCUCCCACACACAGUGAAUACAACAUCAGCAGGGCUUCAUUUUCCUACAACGGGCAAUAUUGGUGUAAGGGUAGAAGAGACGUGUUCUUCUCAACAGCUUGGAGUGAUGCUUUUACACUAAAAGUCUCAAACAAACCCAGACCCACAAUUACUGCUGAUAGGAGAACAAUACCAGCUGGAGGCAAUGCAACACUCAGCUGCUCUGUGGGGAGCUACAAUGAGUGGAAAUACUCCUGGUUCAGACGUGCCUCAGUCUUUUCAGAAAUUCAGGUGAUUAGAAACAAAGAACCAGAUCAAAUGAUCACUGUCACACAGGGAGGCAUCUACUACUGCAAGGGAGGGAGAGGAAACCCCGUUUUCUUCACAGAGGACAGUGAUCCAAUCACUAUUGAAAAAAGAGUUUCCAACAAAGCAGUUGUGUCCCUGGAGCCCAGCUGGCCUCUGAUAUUCAGUGGCGAGAAGAUCACUGUUAGAUGUCAGAUUUAUUUAGGUAGACGCACUGAGUGGGAGUAUGAGUGGAGCAAACCCGACUCAAGCACAGUUCUGGCAAAUAAUGCAUCCAUCAAUCUUAAUGCAUCUGUGAUCAGCAGUGGAAGCUACAGGUGUAUGGGUAAAAACAAACAGGAGCUGUACUCUGUGACAGAGUGGAGUGAUGUCAUCACACUGACAGUCUC